AAAGGCUCAAGAUGAGCCAAAAUCAAACAAUUCCAUAGUUUAGUCAAGCUAAGCCUGGAUAAUAGCAUAUUCAUUUUGUCUCAUCUCAUUUUCAUCCCCAACUGAGUACUAUGUGCUAACAUCAUAUUGUCUCUGCUUAUGGAGUUCAUUGACUCUUGCUCAUACACUGAUAUUCUGCUCUUCUUUAUGAGGUGGAAUAUAAACAGUGUUAACAUUUUCAACUCAACAAGUUUCUUUCUGUGCUAUCUUAAUAAAAACUUUUUUUCCAGCACUUGCUAGCACACUUUAUACAUUCCAUUCUCUCAUGUCAUUUUCUGAAUAUAUUUGGAGUUUUGGUUCAUGAGUUCUCUCUUGUUGCAUUUUUAGUUUUAUGGCCAACUUAUCAUGACAUUGGUUACAUGGGCUAAAAUGGUUUCAUUUUGAAUACAAUUCAGGGUU
rnacentral:misc_RNA from 1 species